ACGACUCUCGGCAACGGAUAUCUCGGCUCUCGCAUCGAUGAAGAACGUAGCGAAAUGCGAUACUUGGUGUGAAUUGCAGAAUCCCGUGAACCAUCGAGUCUUUGAACGCAAGUUGCGCCCGAAACCACUCGGUUGAGGGCACGUCUGCCUGGGCGUCACGCAU
rnacentral:rRNA from 1 species